rnacentral:rRNA from 1 species
GGCAGGCCUAACACAUGCAAGUCGAGCGGCAGCACGGGUACUUGUACCUGGUGGCGAGCGGCGGACCGGGUGAGUAAUGCCUAGGAAUCUGCCUGGUAGUGGGGGAUAACGCUCGGAAACGGACGCUAAUACCGCAUACGUCCUACGGGAGAAAGCAGGGGACCUUCGGGCCUUGCGCUAUCAGAUGAGCCUAGGUCGGAUUAGCUAGUUGGUGAGGUAAUGGCUCACCAAGGCGACGAUCCGUAACUGGUCUGAGAGGAUGAUCAGUCACACUGGAACUGAGACACGGUCCAGACUCCUACGGGAGGCAGCAGUGGGGAAUAUUGGACAAUGGGCGAAAGCCUGAUCCAGCCAUGCCGCGUGUGUGAAGAAGGUCUUCGGAUUGUAAAGCACUUUAAGUUGGGAGGAAGGGCAUUUACCUAAUACGUAAGUGUUUUGACGUUACCGACAGAAUAAGCACCGGCUAAC